GAAAAUAUCCCAUGGUAAAAUACUCGGCCAAAAAUCACACCCAGAAGCAAAAAUCGUCGCGUUAUGAAAAAUAUGGAAUUGCAACACCGUCCGACAUCAUAGAAACAGAAACUAUUAUUGCACUAGCAAUUUUUUGCAACUAUUCCAUGCAGUCUGGGCGUUAGUGUGCAGGGGAUACCCAUAAUAGAAUAACAGCGUACCAGAAAGUAAUUUGAAAUGAGAUCCACAGCUUUUCCAACAGAUCAGAAAGAAACAUUGACUCGGGAUAAUCUGGGAAGAAACAGUUGCACCCAGAAAAACCGAGCAGUUGCUAAAUCGGGACCAACUUAAGUGUACACCAUAGGCCACGAUGAUUAACAACACAUCAUGGUCAUGGAAGCUGAGUUUAACCCCAUCCGACCCAGCAAAUAACAUCUGCUGCUCUCCUUGAUUCGACACGGCAGGUCAAGUUUGGGAAGCUCCACAAGCUUCUAUUGCAAGCCAUCGGAGCAUAAGCUCUCGGCAGCACAAGUCUCUUUAGGAAUCCCAGAAUUGAUCGUUCAUCUUCUAGAGCUGUCAUCUUCUUUCUCCAGGUUCGGGGGGUAUAUCGUGUCAAAGACAACCAGCGUGAAGAGAUUUCUUACUUCAGCAGGUGUACCAUUUGCUAAAUUGUGAUAAUCGAUAUUUCCAUCGCUUUUUGGUUCGUAACCAAUCUCCUUUUUUCCAUGUUGAACACGCUCAAUUAAUUUGAGAACCUUCAAGUAUGCUUGUAGUGGGAUAAAUACCUAAACCGGAAUAUGUACCAAGAUGGCAUAAAUCAGCAUCAGUACAUGGAGCAUUACAAUUGUCACCAUCUAGAAUAGAUAAAAUACAGUAGCAUGGCUGCAGUUCAUCUCUACCAGUGCUGGCAAUGUUGUGCGUAUAAAGAGGUAAAGAACUAGGAAAUCUUAGGAUGCAUGCGUUAGUUCAGGAGCGGCUAUUCCUGGCUAAGUGACUACUCCUACCUGUUAAAAUACCAUGCUUUAUAGGCCAUAGUUAAUAUUGUUACUGAUAAUAUGAGAGUUCUCUUAGACCAGAGAGAUGUUCUCCCGUGCUUGAGAGAUAGUCCCUCCGUCCUAAAAUAACUGUUUUUGAUUUAGUACAACUUUAGGCACGGAGGGAGUACUUAGAUACACCACUACCCAGAAAGAUAUCAGCAUUAGUUGAAGUUAUUUGAAAAAGGCUUUGGGCCAGCCUCAGGCUUACCCUUACAGAGUUGGACAGACUGGGGCCUGGCGUUUCAGGCCUGUCCCAAAGCACAAUAUUUCAACAGGUCUACUUGCAAGCAGCAAAUAACUAAACUAAAUAUGGAGGGCAGAAGAAUUUACACUUACAAGAUCUGAGGACGGUGCUUGAGGGAUUUUCGCCAUAGCAUUUGCAACAUAAUACUCGUCAGUCAUUUCAGUUAAUGCCUGCCUCAUUGAGAUAGCAAGGUCUUUUACUUCAGCUAAUAACCCUUUUUUGCCCCGCAUCCGUGGUUCCAAGAGCUCUGCAAACCCAGCAUCAUGUUGACGGUUGAUUGAUUGUCCAAUAUCCACUGCCAGUGGCAGAUCACCUCCAAGGUAUACAGCAAGUGCAAAAGUAGCCACCACCAAAGGAUCCCGUGGUUUGCGCACCAACGCCUCAUGGAACGCUAAAAUGCUUAUCCUGUAGAAACAACAAUCAAAUAGAAUGUCAUCUUAGCAAGUAGUACUGAAUCCCACGGAUAACAUUAAGAGUCUGGAAGGAUGUAUACUUCUUAGAAUUAGAGGUGUGGAAUCUGUAUAAACUGAUGAGUUGUACAGAAAUAACAAGUUGAAUCAUUCAACUCUUACCAUAAACUAUUAUGGCAUGGCCUGUUAGGUGCAAGAAAACUAUCCAGCUUAGAAAAUAGGACCUGCGCGCACAAGAUGGUAAACUUAAUAGACAAAUCUAGCAACUAAAGCCAAAUUAAAAAAAUAUCCAUAGCAAUGCCACCACAACAUGGAAUUGCCUCCCAAACAGAAGGAACGCCACAAUCUCAACUUAGAAAUAUUUUGCAACCAAUCUAUUAUAUUGGGGACCAGCUCUUUUGGCCGAUUGUGAAAAACAUAUUUAGACCCUAACUAGCUAGGAUUGUCAAAAACAUAUGGGUUCAAGAUUCUGGGAGAAUCUGGGGGAAGGUCUGAUUCUCAAGAUUCUAGGAGAAUCGACCAAAAGAACUGGGCUCCAAUAUAAUAGGUAUGAGUUAUGUUUGAUUCAAUUGAACUAGAGCAUCCAAAAAAAUGGACUCAAAUGACUGGGAAAAUAAGUUCGAACCUAUAAUCUCUACUAUUAAAGGAGGAUCGAACGUCGUGAUGGUUCGACCUCCCCUGCGCUCGUACGUAAGUUCUCCCGAUCCCUCGCUACCGAUUCCCGUGUCCGUCCUCCUCCCCUCGCGCAAAAAAAAAUCUCCGCAUGAAAAAAGAAAAACGACCGCACACAAAAUCAAACCAAGACCCACGCGUGCAGUUACCCCACCCACGACUCCCACCACCGCCACCAUCGCGUUGAUCCAAUCACCUCGCCUUCGUCCUCGUUCCCCUCGCCCAACCCCUCGCUCCUCCCAAUCACAUAUCUCUCCUGAUGAGAAAAAUUGUCACCGCCGUCCCUUGUCUUACCUCAGAUCUUCCCUCAGAGGUCGAUCUCGGUACUCCUCCACCACGCGCCCGCCUCCUCCCACGACUGUGGCCUGGCUUCUCCUCCUCCUCGCUCACAAUCCACGUGCCCGCCGCGCUGGCGUAGGCGCCGACGCAGGUGACUCAGGCGCCCACCCUCCUAGCACUCGGGCACCGCCCACGCAUAGACGCCGGCGUCAACCGUGCCAUCGAGGUCAAGGAGUCCCUCGACCCAACCCUUGCCUGCGUCGGUUGCUCCGCCCGUCUCGAUGGGAUCGGUUACUCGGUCUCGAGCAUCGGGCUCAUCUCCAGCGAGUACGGCGUCGGUGCGGACGCUGCGGUGGACAGCGAAAGUACGGGCUAAUUGCUAGCUCGUCCGAGUCUUCAGUCCACGCCAUCCUGCCGCCUCUCUCUGCUGCACCGGCGCCCACCACGCACUCCGCAUGUUCUUCGACAAAGGCAAGGAUAAACACUGAAUGUCAGUUUGUCACCCCUCCAGAAGCAAGGUUGUCAUCCCCUCUAUCUCUCAUUUUUUUUUACAUCCUUGAUUCCUUGUCACAGUGCUGCUCUGUGUUGCUACUGUUGCAUGAAUGAAGUGACAUGCUGUUGUUGUAUGAAUAAAAAUGAGCUGCUGCCUUUUUAAUAAAACUAACUUGUUUGCAGAUUCUUGUAUGGGCAGAAGAAAGAUAGAACAUGUUGGCUUCCCUGUUUUUUUUCUAUCUACAAGCCUAUAUAUGUGCCUUGCCAUCAGAAACAAAAUGAGUAAUAGGGGUUGGGGAGAAUGCACAUUCUGUAGUUAGCUAAAGAACUAGCUUAAGGGAUAGCAAAUCAAUCAUGUUUAUGAGUUCUGAACUGCAGGUUGUAAUUUAGAUGACGUUUGUUAUAACUCUGCUGCACAUUUUUAGAACUAGACAGAGGGAAAGGGAGAGCUGCUAGCUAAUACUUGAGAUUCAAGGUUAAUAUCUGAAUGAAGCAGUUUCUGCCCCCACAGACCCUUCAAACAAAUCUGUACCGUGCCAGAUAUGAGGGAAUAUUAUUGUGAUAUACAAAAAUACUUGAGAUGUUUCUGGGUGAAGCCGUAGCUACCAACUAUGCUUCAAUUUUUUUUACUGCUUCAUUCAUUAUUCUUUUCAGUGAACUAUAAUCAAUCAUGGUGAUAAACUCAUCAUCUUCCCGUUGAGUACCCUGCUGGUCUGAUAAAAUAUGAGCUGGGGAAAUAGAGAUGACAAAUGCUAUCACAUUGCAAAAUCGUUCUACUCCUAGAUUAUUUACAUAUUAUACUAUUAUAUUCAAUACAAGCUUUAUGAGCAUUUUAAAUUACUUAAUUUAGGCCUUGUAUUUCUUGUAGGAUAUAUUAACUCCGCCUAUGUUGUCUCAACAUAGCCGGUCCCAAGCCCCGGGUAAAGGAGGAGGGUUAUGAUAGGCUUGGCGAGCCAACGUAAAAACUCAGCCACUCUUAUGGAGAUGAAACCCAUAGAAGGAGAAGAUGUCUUAAGCUUUGCUCUAGCCUACAACAUGAUUGUAGCUAACACCCUCUUUAGAAAGAGAGAAUCACAUCUGGUGACUUUCAGUAGUGGCCAAAACUCUAGCCAGAUUGAUUUCAUCCUCUCGAGAAGAGAACAUAGGCGUGCGUGCCUAGACUGUAAGGUGAUACCUGGAGAGAGUGUUGUACCCCAGCAUAAGCUGGUGGUUGCUGACUUCCGCUUUCGGAUUCGUGUCCAGCGGGAUAAGCGUGCCAAAGUCGCUAGAACGAAGUGGUGGAAGCUCAAGGGGGAGGUAGCUCUAGCAUUCAAGGAGAGGGUCAUUAAGGAGGGCCCUUGGGAGGAAGGAGGAGAUGCGAACAAUGUGUGGACGAAGAUGGCGACUUGCAUUCGUAAGGUGGCCUCGGAGGAGCUUGGAGUGUCCAGGGGAAGGAGAAGCGAAGAUAAGGAUACCUGGUGGUGGAAUGAUGAUGUCCAGAAGGCGAUUAAAGAGAAGAAAGAUUGCUUCAAACGCCUAUACCUGGAUAGGAGUGCAGACAACAUAGAGAAGUACAAGAUGGCGAAGAAGGCCGCAAAGCGAGCUGUUGGUGAAGCAAGGGGUCAGGCAUAUGAGGACCUCUACCAACGGUUAGGCACGAAGGAAGGUGAAAGGGACAUCUAUAAGAUGGCCAAGAUCCAAGAGAGGAAGACGAGGGAUAUUGGCCAAGUCAAAUGCAUCAAGGACGGAGCAGGCCAACUCUUGGUGAAGGACGAGGAGAUUAAGCAUAGAUGGCGGGAGUACUUCGACAAGCUGUUCAAUGGGGAGAAUGAGAGUUCUACCAUUGAACUGGACGACUCCUUUGAUGAGACCAGCAUGCGUUUUGUGCGGCGAAUCCAGGAGUCUGAGGUCAAGGAGGCUUUAAAAAGGAUGAAAGGAGGCAAGGUGAUGGGCCCUGAUUGUAUCCCCAUUGAGGUGUGGAAAGGUCUCGGGGACAUAGCGAUAGUAUGGCUAACCAAGCUUUUCAACCUCAUUUUUUGGGCAAACAAGAUGCCAGAAGAAUGGAGACGGAGUAUAUUAGUACCAAUCUUCAAGAACAAGGAGGAUGUUCAGAGUUGUACUAAUUACCAUGGAAUUAAGCUGAUGAGCCAUACAAUGAAGCUAUGGGAGAGAGUCAUUGAGCACCGCUUAAGAAGAAUGACAAGCGUGACCAAAAAUCAGUUUGGUUUCAUGCCUGGGAGGUCGACCAUGGAAGCCAUUUUCUUGGUACGACAACUUAUGGAGAGAUAUAGGGAGCAAAAGAAGGACUUGCAUAUGGUGUUCAUUGACUUGGAGAAGGCCUAUGAUAAGAUACCGCGGAAUGUCGUGUGGUGGGCCUUGGAGAAACACAAAGUCCCAGCAAAGUACAUUACCCUCAUCAAGGACAUGUACGAUAAUGUUGUGACAAGUGUUCGAACAAGUGAUGUCGACACUGAUGACUUCCCGAUUAAGAUAGGACUGCAUCAGGGGUCAGCUUUGAGCCCUUAUCUUUUUGCAUUGAUGAUGGAUGAGGUCACAAGGGAUAUACAAGGAGAUAUCCCAUGGUGUAUGCUCUUUGCGGAUGAUGUGGUGCUAGUUGAUGAUAGUCAGACAGGGGUAAAUAGGAAGUUGGAGUUAUGGAGACAAACCUUGGAAUCGAAAGGGUUUAGGCUUAGUAGAACUAAAACCGAGUACAUGAUGUGCGGUUUCAGUACUACCAGGUGUAAGGAGGAGGUUAGCCUUGAUGGCCAGGUGGUACCUCAGAAGGACACCUUUCGGUAUUUGGGGUCAAUGCUGCAGGAGGAUGGGGGUAUUGAUGAAGAUGUGAACCAUCGAAUCAAAGCCGGAUGGAUGAAGUGGCGCCAAGCUUCUGGCAUUCUCUAUGACAAGAGAGUGCCACAAAAGCUAAAAGGCAAGUUCUACAGGACGGCGGUUCGACCCGCAAUGUUGUAUGGCGCUGAGUGUUGGCCGACUAAAAGGCGACAUGUUCAACAAUUAGGUGUGGCGGAGAUGCGUAUGUUGAGAUGGAUGUGUGGCCACACGAGGAAGGAUCGAGUCCGGAAUGAUGAUAUACGAGAUAGAGUUGGGGUAGCACCAAUUGAAGAGAAGCUUGUCCAACAUCGUCUGAGAUGGUUUGGGCAUAUUCAGCGCAGGCCUCCAGAAGCUCCGGUGCAUAGUGGACGGCUAAAGCGUGCGGAGAAUGUCAAGAGAGGGCGGGGUAGACCAAAUUUGACAUGGGAGGAGUCCGUUAAGAGAGACCUGAAGGAUUGGAGUAUCACCAAAGAGCUAGCUAUGGACAGUGGUGCGUGGAAGCUUGCUAUCCAUGUGCCAGAGCCAUGAGUUGGUUGCGAGAUCUUAUGGGUUUCACCUCUAGCCUACCCAACUUGUUUGGGACUAAAGGCUUUGUUGUUGUUGUUGUUAUUUCUUGUAGGAUAUAUUGUUAUCAUUUCCAGUUCGCCGAUGAUUGUUGUCUUUCUUGAGAUUUAACAGCUUGUUUCUUGUAGGAUAUAUUACUCUGAAAUAUCGCUAGCCAUUGCCAUGCUUCUGCAACACUUCAACCAAUUGUUGAUUAUUGCCAAUAUUGGGAGGAUCACUUAGUUGUACAGUUUGUUGCACAAUUUUAUGGUAAAAGUGUAAAACAAUAAUAAUGUUACCAUCAGAGUAAUCAGUUUUAUCUUGAUUGUGGAGGUCGUCCUUUUCUGUAGAAGAGUCUCUACUGUAUUCACCUUUUGCAGCUAAAAAUAGCAUUAUGGCUUUUAUGAUUGACAUUACAGACUCUUAUCUUCAGUGCUUUUGGACUUUGGAGUAAUCUUGUGGCGUAUCAGCAGUGUUCAACUCACUUGUGUUCUUAAAACUCCUAACUGAGAUACAUAUGAAGUUAUUAUCAUGUUUGCACAUACUCCCUCCGUCCCAAAAUUCUUGUCUUAGAUUUAUCUACAUACGGAUGUAUCUAGUCACAGUUUAGUGUUAGAUACAUCCGUAUCUAGACAAAUUUAAGACAAGAAUUUUGGGACGGAGGGAGUACAUACCUAACUGAGAUUAUCCUGAUAUAGUAGUUUUCUUUCCUUCCAAGUUAGUUCUAUGAGUUUUUGUCUGCACUAAAAUAUCUUAGGUCUACAAUUGUUUUUUGUUUUGUUUUUGUGAGAGUAUCUAUCAUUAUUUUAGUUAUUGCAUGUUCAGGAAUCAAAACUAUCUUCGGUGGUCACAUCCUUGCUGGGACCUACGGUGAGAAACUGAAUGUUGGGGUCUAUGAUAGCCAAGCACCAACAUGGUCAUGCAGGAGUUGCCUUCUGGGGCCUUGCUCAUCUACCAGAGCUAUGUUGUCAGCUUAGUCUUCAUUGGGACGCCAAUAUCUGUUUUGAAUUUCUUCAUGGAUAAUAACUUGGAGGCCCCAAUGGCACUUAUAUCGAUGAUUUCCUUUGUUGGCGAGAUGAUGAUGCACUGGAGAUAGAUGAGGUUGUAUAAAACGAGGAGCUCCUGAUGGUGAUAUGAUUGCUGAUCUGAAUGAUCAUGUAUCAUGUUAGUUUGUUCUUAGAGAUUCCAUGUGCCUAUUCUAAUGCUUCUUUGUUUUGACUUGUAAGUAUCUUGACAUAUAAAGCCAACAAAGGCAUGUGAGGAGCACAGUACUGCUAAUAUUUCUUUUUUUCUUUUUUUCUUCCCUUUGAUGGUGAUCUGCAGGCAUACAGAAGGUAAGGUGUCACCUUAAACGGAAGCCAAGCACAAGGUCAUAUUUAUCACAAUAUGAAAAUAAGCCACGUACCACGUACAAACUAUUCAAAAAUAAUAAUCAGGACUCUUGCUUUGUGGAUUACAAGAUGAUUUUACAACUAUCUCUGUGUGCCGAAAAAACUAUCUUUAUGCCUAAACUUAUUGUUAUGUGGCAAUGUACAAGCAUUGUUUCUGGAGGCCAAUAUCCCUCGAGCUAUACGACAUUUGAGCAACAGCAUGUUACACCAAUAUCUCUCAUGGAUUAGGCUCUUUCAGUGAGGGGUUGUUAGGGCUAUGGAAGGGCAAUUCUAUGACCAUAUGGUCAAACGAUGAAGGAGAGCAAGGGGGUGAUCACGUGUUCAUGAUGGCGGCGAGAAAACUCGUGAGGUUGGAUCUGUGUAGGCGGCAAGUGAGGAUGGUGAGCAACAAGUAAAUUUGAUGUCCGUGGCAACGCACGGGCACUCAACUAAAAUAAGUUCGAACCUAUAAUUGCAUUAAUUGCACAAUCAUUCACUUAAUUUUUAUCAGAUAGUUUCCUUUACAUCUCCUUGCUGAAUCAACUCCUUCAUUAGAGCCUGCAUUCUCGCGCGUGGAGCACCCUCAAUACCCUUUUUUGAGUUGCAUAUACGUCACGACAUACAUAUUGUGUAAAACAUGCAUUGCACGUACACAAUUGCUAGUAGAACUUAAAACAUUGGCAAACAUUUAGUAACUUAUUAGUAAUCUGAGUAAAUUGCCCCAGUGCCACCAAAGUCUGUUCGCUCCGGAGUACAACUCACACAUUACCUUUAUCCAAGUUUGACUGAUGGCCCACUUUUGUUAGUGAAUGCACUGGGCAAAAUUUGUUUUUUUUUCUAGAUAUACCCAAAGGAACCUUGAAUCAUCUCUCCCAUAAACACUAAUCAUGCUCCCUUGGCAUAGGCGUCGGUGCCUUAAGCACCUGUGCUCCGUCUGCAUGUGCCUGAUAGUCAAGGGCUCACAGCCUUGACAGCUUGAGGGACUAUAAUGUAUUACAAUCCCAUUGGAUAAGGCCUAGGAGCUGAGGAGCGAGGCUUAUGUGGCUAAGGUUGGCGUCGAGAAUGCCCCUGCGUACAUGUUGGUAGGAUGACUAUGGGAGGGAGGAGGAUGGCACGAAUAGGUGACGGCAAAUAUUACUUUUCUUAACCUAUCAGCCUUAGUUCAUAGUGGUGUUUUGGGAAGAAGUGAGAUGUGAGUGCUGUUUUGAGAAUUGCAAAAAUCGUAGUGGGUACAGAGUAAGUUUCUCUAUCAAUUAAGUAGAUGAAAAUUAAAAUGUUACUUGACUACAAUCUCAAGGACCCAAACUUUAUGAGUCCUCUAUUAAUUAAGUAAAAAUGAAAAAAACCAAUGUUAUUUGAGUAUAUUCUCAAGGGCCCAAACUUUUAUCAGUGAGAUGUACAUUUAAAAAAAAUGGAACUUACCAGCAACAUGUUAGUCCCAUUAUCCUUCCUCUUAAAAAGAGUUGAAGAAAAAUAUGCAGCCUGUAUAGCUCAACGAAAUAGUUCAGCUAAAAUUACCACAACAAACACCACUAUAUUUUGAGAUAUCAACCAUAGCUAUACCUGAAAGGGCAAUAAAUGUUCAAGAAGACCAAAUCGCCAAAGCAACCUUAAAGAAGCUUCAGCUGAACCAUAAGCAAGCAUAUAGUUAACCUCCAUGAGUAAUCUUCCCUACAAGAAGGAAUCAAUAAGAGACAGGCACCUGAGCUCCGUUCUUGCUUAUUCAAUGCAUAUGAGAAGACAAACAUUCACAAAAUAUAAGCACAUUGUGCAUACAGGACCAAACCUUGUCAAGUCUUGCCACAGAACAGGCAAGAUUUCUCACAUAAUAAGCUGUUUCUUUGGGAAAGCUGAAUCCUAAUCGAGCUGCAAUUCUGAUUGCACGUAGAAUACGAGCUGUUAAUUACAGAUUGCACAUUAAUGCCAAAUUCACAGAAAGGCAAAAAUAAAAUAAAAAGGAAAUCCAAAAAAACAAAUUUGAAAUGAUACUGACCACAAUCCUCAUGGAACGAAGUGGCGGCGGGAAUAACAGUACGAACCUGUUGAAAGGGAAAAAGGAUAUCAUAACAAAUAAAUGAAAUGACUCAUGUUGAACACAAGCAAAGAUGAUGCAACUACAACAAUUAUCAAUACAGCAGACCUUAGCUUUCUUAAUAUCUUCAAUGCCUCCCAGGUAGUCGUAGAUCUUUUCUGAAUAUGGAUUGAACAUUAAUCUGCACACAUUUAACAUCAGCAAAUAUGCAUACCAGAGCUUGCAGUAUGGAAACCAGUUAUCAUGUAAAGGAACACCAACCCAUUAAUAGUGAAGUCCCUCCCUUGGCAGUUUUUCCAGCGUAAAUAAUCGUUCUUGCUACAAUGUGGGCUCUUUGAAGUGGGCAUUUGAUUGCCAGUUGACCCUCGAACGUAAGUAUUAAAACUUGACACCUGCCAGGGAGGAUAAGAAAUGUUCAGUAGGCAGCACAUGUGGCGUGAAAGGAAAUCUAAUUCAAUGACACUCAGUAUUGAGUUGGCAGCAUAUGCGGUGUGAAAGGAAAUCUAAUUCAACAACCCCCCUCUUAAAGUGUGAAAAUUCUGAUGAUCCAGCCAAGUAAGCAUGAAUGUGUACGAACCUCAACAAUGGAAUUAUUGUCAUGUACAUGAACUAUGGGAAACCGCCUUCCUACUAUAACAGCUGAUCCUACAAAGGUGUCUUUCACCUGCAAGAGUUCAAAAUAGCAUCCUUUGUUGGUAAGGUCAACAAAAUUGCUUUUGCAUCUCAAAUAGAAUACAAAUUUGUUGACGACUUGCAAUGCAACAUAACUGCAAAAUAUGACACAUGCAAACAUAGAAUUAGAAGUGAAAUUAUACAUAGGUUUUAUUUAUACCUUUCACUUAUCACGGAUAGACUGAAGGUAUCUCUUAUUUCAGAUAAGGAAAAACUGCAUGCAUCUAAUAUCAAGCAAAUACACUAAUUAUGUCUGUUGCAGUUGAUUUUGACAAAACUAGUAUUAUUCUAGAAAAAUUACUAUCUACACAUUUCAGUAGAAAUGUUAGCUUUGACUCUGAGAAACGUAUGACACACAACAAACCAAUUUGUAAUAGAAUCACUGCAUAACAAUGGCAUGCUCGUUAAUAUGAGUUAUAACCUGCCUAAGAUCAGCUGUUGUUAUUAUGUCAAAAUCUUUUGGGAUUUUCUUCAUUAUGAGAUCUCGAACACAACCACCAACCAAGUACACAUCAUAUCCUGCAAAACAGUAAAACACAUACACAUGUCACUGAAUCUGGGAGUGCGAUAACAAAAAAGUAAAAUACAAAUGGAUACUUCACCUGAAGACAUAAAAAACCUUCGAUUAUCAUCAUGGUUUUAGAAUAAUAAGGAAAAACAAUAUUUUAUAGUUCUUAGCUACCUAACAGCAGGGUUGUUGAAGUGUAUAUGUGGAUUACCUAACCCUUUCCAUUAGUCUGGACUUUGGGUUGCGUUGGCUAGUGCAUGAAGCUUAACAUGGUAUCAGAGUCCGAGGUCUUGAGUUAAGUCCUGGCUUUCGCAAUUUAUCGAAACAUUGCUGUUGCCCCCCUUUGUCCACGUAUAUGCCUCUUGAGCCAUACCUCUGAGUCUAUCCAUGUGUUGACUUUCCGCGUCACACGUGAGAGGGGGUGUUGAAGUGUAUAUGUGGAUUGCCUAGCCCUUUCCAUUAGUUCAGACUUUUGGUUGCGUUGGCUAGUGCAUGAAGCUUAACAAGGGUAACACGGUGGAAUUGAACUUCCUUACUGAAUAGUGGAACAAUAAAACCAGAUACAUUUCUUACCCAUUUAAUACCAUCAACCAUCAAGAUUUUUGUAGGACUUCUAAAGGAUUGGAUUUUGGAGGAAAUUUUCCUUUGGGGCCCUUUGGUUUGUAGGAAUAGAAUCCUAUUCCUGUAUAGGAUAGGAACAAAUCCUUUGUAAUUCAAAGGAAAAAAAACAUUAUCCUAGACCAAAUAAAAAUAUCCUAUCCUACGAACCAAUUGACAUCUCUUUCCCUAUAGGAUUUGAGAUACAUCUCAUCUCACUUCCUAUGGUUUUCCUAUUCCGAUGAAAUUCAUAUCCUAUGAACCAAAGGAGGCCUCAAAUGGUAAUGCGAGUAUUUCAUGGAAAAAAUAAAAGAAUGCUAUAAUUUACUAGUGGUUAUGUUCUUAUAUCACGAGAAUCAAACGCUGAACCAUGAUAUUACCAUAAUAGCUGUAAAGGAGCAAACUUUCAGCUAAAUGAUUCACUUUAGGGCUAAAAAGAAAUCCUUCUAUAUGUAUAUCAGAGCCUUCUCAUAAACUCAAGAACAACAGAUAAUAUUGGUCCCUCCUCAAGAAAGGAAAAAAGACAAGAUUAGUAAUGACAAUUCAGUGUUUCCACGAUAAAAAACAAGCACACGAAAAAGGGACGCACCUCUGCUACGGAGUUGGUGGAGGACGUUCCAUGCCUCAUCGGGGAUCAUGGACUCCUUGUACCCGAACCGCUUUGCGCUGACCUUCUUCCAUUCCGGCCCGUCCGCGUCGCCUACACAGACCUUGGCCCGUUCGGGGGGUAAGCGAAAUCACAGUGUAUCACCAUCAGACCAGCGGAGAAUACGCAAGAAGAGGCGCAGACUUACCGGCGGAGGCGGUCGAGGGGUUGGAGUCGGAGGGCGAGGGAGAAGGGGAAGGGGACGGGCCGCGGCGGCGUCGGCGGGGGGAAGCGAGCGCGGCGAGGGGGGAAGGAGCGAGGCGGCUGGGCCGGGAGAGCGCGCCGAGCCCGGUGGAGGCGGCGAAGCGCAGCUCCGGCGAGCGAAGCGCCAUUCGGAUAGAGGCGGCGGCGCACGCCAGCGGACGCGCGACGAGGGGGAUGGGAUAGCAAACAGACGAGACGAGGAAUAGCGAUGCGAUGGAGUACCGGAGCUGAUAGACAGCCAGCCCACUGGCAGGCCGCAGCCUAGCCCGUGGAUCUUCAUCGGAUAGGUGGGCUCGCCAAGCUUGAACGAGCUUUAGGGCGCAUUCUUUUUUUUUUAAAAGGAGUUUAGGGCGCAUUCUUGGUGGGCAGGGAAGGGUGUGUUGGGUUCGAUAAAAAAAAAAUUCGAGAGUACGCCAAAGGCGUACCUUACUUUUAUAAAAGGGGAGAAACAAGAGCACAAAAUGUACAAGAGAGUUUGAACGGAAGCAAGCUUCCAUCAGGAACGCACACCCUAGUCCUAGCACACCCUACAAUUAACAUAUGCCAACACUCUCACAAAACGUGCCAUAGCCUCCUCCUCCCAAACCGGCUAGUCUCCAUUCUUUGAGCUCCGCGAUGAUGGCAAGGGUUAGGUCUGGCGCCGUCAUCUGUUGGUUGGUCCUAUGGAACACUCUAGCGUUGCACUGCUUCCAUAAGGCCCAAGUGGUAGCAAUGAUCACCGUGUCAAACCCACGCUUGGCACCCUUUCUGUAAUGUGCUCUCCUAUCUAACCACCACUCCAGUCCUCAUGCUCCGGGAUGCUGCCCUGCAGACUGAGCGCAUCGAACAUGUAGUGCCACACUUCUCUCGCGUAGACGCAUUGAACAAGAAUGUGCUCUGCGUUAUCUUCAUCUUGAAGGCACGUGUAGCAGGCAGAAGGAGCGUCCUUGUCACAGCCCCAGAUCAGCCCUUGUUUGUUUUUGCUUUAGCAUCCAUGCAACAUGUUUAAAUUUUAUGAAAUUUGAAAUGGGGAUGACCAAGCCCUAGCACCAAAGCAUUGCAAAUAGGUUCAACUUCAAAAUAUUUUCAAAGAACCCAAAUUGGUUUGCAAAAAUGUUCAUAAUUACUGGAAAAGGGUGAAAACCAUAUCCAGAGAUGAUGGAUAUUUUUCCAAGACAUUUUUGGAUUUUUGAUUAAACCAUAUUGUAUUUGAAUUGGGGCAUUUAAAUACUGUUAAUAUUUUUAAAUGCUCCAACAAUUCUGAAAAUAGUUGAGGGCCUCUGUAAUAAUUCAGUUAAUGUCCACAAUUAUUCUCAGGAUUUAUAAAAAAUGAUUUAGUGUCUAAAACUAAAUCAAAACAAACUACAGAAAAUAGAAAUAGAAAAGAGGAAAUAAAAGAAAGGGAGAGAAGGCCACCAGGCCACCUACCUAACUUACCUGGCGCCCACUUACCUGGCCCAGCACGGCCCAGCCCAUCUCCACUCCCCCUGUCGUCUUCCUCCUCGCCAGAAGGACCGAGGCGUGGCGCGCGCCCGAGAGGCCUCGGCCACCUCCUGCUUUCCCUGGCCACCUCAUGCUUCCUCCUCGACGCCCCGGUGACGCCACGCGCCUCCCCGACCCCCUCUCACCUCUCCCUCACUCGCUGCACCCUCUCUCCCUCCCCUGACUCCCUUCCCCGAGCUCACCCGAGAGUCGCCGUCGCCGCCGUUCGCCAUAGCCGCAGCCACCAGCCCUCCCUCGCCCUUCCGCCAGUUCCAGAAGCUCCGCCGCUGACCUCUACACCGUCCCCGCCAAGCCACAUGAGCGGACGCGCCCUGCAGCGGCUUCCCCGACCUCUUCUUCAAGCUUCGGCCGCCGAGAUCGCCGGCGACCGUGUGCCCUCCCUGACGCCUCCCCGAGCUCCCCGAGGCCACCGUCGCAACCCUUGUGAGCCUCCGGUCGAUUCCCCUCUUCUCCCCGCGUCAAUUUCGCGCCCUAGCCACAGAUGCACAUAGCCGAGUUGUGCUCGCCGCCGGCGAAGUCGUCACCAUGGCUUGAGCAAGCCCAGCUUGCCCCUGAGCAUGUCAUCGCGCUCGCGCUGCUCCCAGGAGCCGAUCUAGCCCACCCGUUCGUCUCACCGUGCACCACAACGCCGAUUCCAAGCACACCCGAACUCCGGCCGCCGCCUUGGAGCUCGCCGUCGUCGGCUCCGGCCACCAUAGGUCCGGCCACCACCACCGUUCGACGCGUGCCACUGCGUGCGUUUGAAUGCAACUAACCGCGCUCGAAAUGAUGCCCUGAGGGCGAUUUCCGAAGCCCGCCGCCGCAUCUGGCCUCGCCGGCGUCAUGUCGCCGGUGGGAUUGACCCACUUGAUCGCGGCGGAACCCCCCCUGGGUCGAUGACAGGUGGGGCCAGCCCCUGUUAAUUAGUUUAGGUGUUAGAUUAGUUAACACUAAUUAAUUUAGUUAAUUAUUUAAGCCACUGACAUGUGGGCCCAGCCCCGCUGACAUUUUCGUUAGUAUUAGUUUAACCCUAAUCAACCCGGUUAACCAACUGAGUCACUGACCAGUGGACCCCACUGGUCAGGUUUGACCAGCAGCAGCGUCUGUUGACCUGCUGACGUCAUAGUGACGCAAUGCUGGCGCAAUAAGUAUUUUCUGGAUUUAUUAUUAUUCAGGAAAUUUCAGAAAAUAGCUAAAACUUCAAUAAAUCAUAGAAAAUUAACCGUAACUCCAAAUGAAAUAAUUUAUAUAUGAAAAAUUAUCAGAAAAAUUCAAGGAAUCCAUCUGUACCAUUUUCAUGCAUGUUUGAACAAUGUUUGUCCUCUGUUUUGGACAAAACAAAUUAAGGGCAUUUAAAUAAUCAUAUAUGGAGUUUGAAUUUGAAUCUUGUAUUCAAACCAACUUCAUUUAAAUCAUAGCUAGUUGCAUUAGCUCAAAACACAUUCAUAUUGCCAAGUCAUGAGCAUGCAUCAUAUUGUGCAUUGCAUUGAUUGUGUUCUUUCUCUGUUGCCGGUGUUUGUCCCCUCUCGAUAGACGUGUACCGGCGAUGUGAUCGAUGACACUGAUGAAGAGCUAUAUUAUCUUCAGAAGUGCCAGGCAAGCAAAACCCCCUUGUUUAUUCCGAUACAAUCCCACUCUCUCGCUCCUGCUCUCUUUUACUGCAUUAGGACAACAACGAUUCAUCUGUUACUUGUUGCGGUAGCUGAACCCCUUUAUCCUUUGCAUGACCUGUCAUUCCACAGUAAAUAGAUGAAACCCACUAGUAUGAGUAGGAGUUGUUUGAGCCCUGUUGUGCCUACUCAUUCAUGUUUGUUUGUCAUGCCUGCUACUGCUUAGAGUUGAGUCAGGUCUGAUUCAUCGGGGAUGAAUCAGAGGUGUGUGAACAUGUCCUACUAUGUGUGAGCUAAGUGUGUGAACACGAUUUGGUAAAAGGUAUCGGUGAGAGGCCAUGUAGGAGUACAUGGUGGGUUGUCUCAUUGAAGCCGUCCUCAGGAACUGAGUUCUGUGUUUGUGAUCCAUGAUUCAGCUACUACCAUACAUUGGGCCCUGAAAUAUGACCCCGCUCGACUUCUUAUUCACCCUAGUCCUCUGUCCAGGAGUUGCAAGUAGUUUCUGGUGUUUAUAGCUUACUGGAGGCCAUGGACAGCGCUGACCGUAGGGGUGGGCUGUGAUGCGGUAGGUACGUGGCACGGUGUACCGGAUGCCCGUUUGGUAUCUCGAGAACCCUGUUCACAUCGUUUGGGGCUGUGAGCGAAACUCCGGCCGGAUCUCCUCAUGGAUGGAACCCGAAUAGGCGAUAAACCUGGACUAGAGACUCGAGUGUUUAGGUAGGUCGUGGUCUACACCCACGUCGGCUUUCGCUUGAAGUCUGCCGAGCACAUGUCGUGUGCAGACGCUAAGUGGUGGAAACAUGUAUGAAGAAGUACACCCCUGCAGGGUUAAUAUCAUCUAUUCGAAUAGCCGUGUCCGCGGUAAAGGACUUCUGGGUUGCUUAUAUCAGUUCAUAGACAAGUGAAAGUGGAUACCCUAAAAUACGCAAGAUAAGCGUGAGUGCUAUGGAUGGCGUUCCCGUAGGGAGACGGGAGCGGAUCCAUAGUGGUGUAUUGAUAUCGUGAAUAUGUGGACUCGUGUGCGCCACCUCAAAAGAGUUACAUUGCAGUCGUAGUUCAGGAUAGCCACCGAGUCAAAGCUGGCUUGCUGCAGUUAAACCCCACCAUCCCCUUUGUUGAUAAUGAUGCAUAUGUAGUUAGUUCUGAUGUAAGUCUUGCUGGGUACAAUUGUACUCACGUUUGCCUAUUUUAUGUUUUUGCAGAGAGACUUCGGUCUCGCUAGUAGUUCCGCGUGGACUUCGACGUUUAGCUUGUUACCUCAGCUACGAUCUUGUGCCUCGGCAGGAUUUGGUAGAUAGCCAGGCUUCUCAGCCGUUUUCAUUUAUAGAUGUCUGUACUCAGACAUGAUAGUUUCCGCUUGUGCUUUGACUUGUAUGCUCUGAUUGUUGGGUCAUGAGACCCCUGUUUGUAAUAUCUCGCUCCUCGGAGCCUAAUAAAUACUUGAGUUGUAGAGUCAUGUUGUGAUGCCAUGUUGUAUUUGCACAUAUCGAGCAUAUUGUGUGUAUGUUAUUGAAAUGCCUGGCAUGUGUGGGAUCUGACUAUCUAGUUGUUUAUCCUCAGUAGCCCCUCUUACUGGGAAAUGUCUCCUAGUGUUUCCACCGAGCCAGGGUAGCUUGCUACUGCUCCGGAACACUUAGGCUGGCCGGCAUGUGUCCUUCUUCGUUCCUGUGUCUGUCCCUUCGGGGAAAUGUCACGCGAUGAAUACCGGAGUCCUGUUAGCCCGCUACAGCUCGGCUCACCGGAGUCCUGCUAGCCCAGUGCUACAGCCUGGAUUCACUCGCUGAUGACCGACACGUUCGAUGCUGGGUCAUGGAUGCCUGUCCCUGUAAGUCUGUGCCACUUUGGGUUUACGACUAGCCAUGUCAGCCCGGGCUCCUUAUCAUAUGGAUGCUAGCGACACUAUCAUAUACGUGUGUCAAAAGGCGCAAACGGUCCCGGGCAAAGGUAAGGCGACACCCGUGGGAAUACCGUGCGUGAGGCCGCAAAGUGAUAUGAGGUGUUACAUGCUAGAUCGAUGUGGCAUUGAGUCGGGGUCCUGACAGCGUUGGUAUCAGAGCUUGACUGCCUGUAGGAUUACCAAGCCAAACUGGUCGAAGUUGAGUCUAGAAAUUCUUUAGUUAUGUAGGGGAAUUGAUUGUGGAUGGAACGUAAGGCUCUUUUUACUCCUUAUACCUCAUGGCCUUCUGAUCUGAGUCAACCUCUUCUCUUCUACGGGGAUUAAGAACUAGGCUAUCUCUUCUUUCUAUCAGGAUCACGUGUUACUAAUCCGUAGACUUAUUGAAUUGUUGGAAUUAAGCCUUAGUUCAGUUUCUACCUCUGUAUGUUAAUUAUUGAUCUCGAGACCUUGAUAUUGUGCUUCUGAGUGGUUAUGCCACCAUUUUUGUGAAUGUCUCAAAUCUUUUCUGAGCAUUUACAGCCGUUAUGCUGUCCGAGUCAUCCCAGGUUUCUAAAUAGUCUGAUGCAUUUGCAAAAUCCUUUCCCUUUGGUUUCGAUGUUCCUUUAUGCCAGCUCAGUCACACUAAUUGUUGAGUUGAGGUAUUCUAUUGCCUCGACUUAUAUGUUGGAGUUAUUAUUAUGACCCUAGGUGCUUAGGGGAUCAUCUAGUGAUCUAGCAAUGUUUUGUGUUCCCAGUGUGAAGAUUCUGGCCAUCAUUCUCGAAAGCAUUCCGUGAUGCUACUUAGUAGUAGGUAUUCUACUCGUGGGUUUUGAACCCGAGAUUCACUCUACUUACCUCACGUUGAUAGUGUUUGCUAGUUCCUUUAGGAUAUUAGUAACCUUUGCGAUAGUUCUCGAGGUUCGUGGUACAUCCUUCUUCCAAUUACCAUGAACCAUUCUUGGCAGGAGUUCUUCUGAACCAAAAGAUGACAACAAGAGUGCUCUCGAUGAGUUCUCCAUGCUAUAUUGUGACUCUGCCAGUCCUAACUCUCUGCAUGGGUUAUCUGGAAGAAAUGUUGAUCUCGCUCGACAUACUAAUCUAUGCAUCCACAACUCAGAAAGUUAUAUGUUCCUUUGAGUUGUCCCCCUUUAGUUGUCUACUGACCUUCGUCUAUCAAUUGAUAGUCAAGAGUAUGUGUGCGUUCGUUUAUCGAUGCCUAUUACUCUUGUGGUCCGUCAAGCCAUUCUAUCGCGGAAUGACUAGGAGAAACAAACUCCAGUACCUCUUCCAUAUCCAGGAUUGGGUCAAAGAAGUCGUACUCCGCAGAUCAAAUUGCUAAUUUUGCCUUUGCUCUGUUCUACCUUGGAGUAUUACCAUCUUUUAUAUCGGGAUUAUUGUAGGAAUUGCACACCAUCCUAUGAACUCUUGGUACAGUGAUACUUCUUGCCAUCAUUGUCAUUCCUCGGUCCUCGUGUUGAUGCAACCGGAAUACCGACAAAUGAAUUGUGAUGUGUGAAAUCAAUACUCCUAGCAACCUUGUUGCUUGGUAGUUAAAUGGACAAUAACCUCAUUCUUAACGUGUUGGUUCUUGAAUCAUCAUUCUAAGAUUGAUCGUGCUACCUUGUCCAUCUUCCUGGUGCACAUUUCGAUUGAUGAGUUAGGAUUUUGUCAAGUCCUCGCUCAUUUGAUCAUAUCGUCUUGCCCUGAAAAGCAAGAUUGUUCUCGAGCUUAGUAACAUAUCGGUGGUUCGUGAUUUUCCGAAUAUCUUCUCGAAAGUAUCACCAGGUUGUCACCUGACUGUUAUGUUGAGCUCGUGAUCAAGUUGGUUUUCCAAUAAACCACUUUUUCUCCAAGAAUCGGUGUUAGAUAUCCCUGAGCUAGUUGGUUAAGCUAGACAACAACUUGGAGAGUUGGAAGAUAAAAGCUUGUCUGACUUAGUUCGUUCCAAAGGGAUAUUCUUGUGUAGUGUGUGUUGAAGAAAGAUGGUAUCUUCAUCAAUUGAUCCUUGAGACCAGUUGCUGGAGCUAUUGUCUUGCCAAAACUUUGAUUUGAGUAUGGGCUAUUCUCAAAUCAAAUCCGAACCAACGAUAUUCGUAAUGUUGUCUUACUCGUGGUUGAUCCCUCGAGCAUACACCACUACAUCUUUGGUCUGACCAAUGCUAUCACCUUGUUCACCAAGUCGUGGGAUUCCAUCUUCACGGAAAUCUCGAUGAUUUGUUGCUGAGCCCAUCAACAUCAUUUUAUCUUCUCCAAGAUCUUGUUGGACAAUAAGUUAGUGUUGGAAACUUUUGAAAGCAUUAUCUUCAUGCUAGCUCAUGAAGUAUUUGUUUGAUGAAAGGAGUAACUUCCUUUAAUUCAUGUGCAUCUGAUGCAAGUUGCCGCCGUGGAAUCGAGACAGUCAAUGUUGCUUCCUCUGGAAUCAUCGCAAGUCAGUCAUGCACACGUGCGAAGUAUUCUGUGCUCUGGAGACUUGCAACCUUCAUUCCAUAUGUGUAUCCUAGCACACCAAGCCACUGACUGAUUUGUUCAAGGAGAAGGAGUAUCUUCAUAAGAGCUAAUCCGGACUUAUGAAAGAACUUCGAUAUCCUCGCUGAUGGUUCCCAACCAGAACUCGGUAGUGUUUUAUUGUAAGACUACCAUGUGGGCAUGCUUGUCUGGGACAUCGUGUUCACAUGUUUGUAGCAGAACCAGCUCAUGUUUUGGAGCUUACUAUCGUAGUUCAUUCCCGAGAAUCUUGCAACGUCAUCUCGUCGAUUUGUGUUGCAAACUUUCGUUUUUCUUCCUAGACUCGAUGAGUCUGGAAUAUCCUGACACCAACCAGAUCUGAAUCUCAGGCAGAUAUGAUGGUUUCGAACAUUUCCCAAAAACUAUAAUAUCGGUCCCUCGGAAACCGGUAAAGUGGAUGUCAUGGCCAACACACCCAGCCGGAAGACCUAUUAUUGUAGUAUCUUGAUUGAGAAAGUUGGCCACCUCCCCAUAAGGACUUCGUAGGAUUUACUCCUUAGAUGUUCCUUAUGGAUUUCUUUUGUGUUCUCGAAGUCCGACCUUUUACUUGAUGUUCUAGAUAUCAAACCAUAUCUAUGAAUGAGAUACACUAGCACAUCAAGGAGAACAUUAAAAGCGGAGUGCUAAAUGUCUCUCGGUCGAUCAUCUAGAUUUUGAUCCCUUGGCCUCGCUAAGGUGAAAUCUGAGAAAGUGUUAUCUUCCUUGCAUCUGCAUCAUCCAUCAUCAUCCAUCAUGGUAGUAUGUUGUGUUGCCAGGAUCCUUGACACGGAUGUUGAUAAAACCUUGAUGAUUGUGGAAAUGCUCAAGUUCUUGAGAGCACGCACAAGCGCUAGGUAUUAUCGCCGGCACUAACCGGGAUUGCUCCUAGUCUCUUCGGUUAUGCUAUAACCACUCCAACAGUGAAUUCACUCUCUAUUGUUGGGUUCUUCCCCAGUUACCAGAAUCAUUCCCAUCAUUUGUAUUUUGUUCCCAGCUUGCACCGCCAAUGUGCCAUUCUACCAUGGGUCUCUUCCAUUUCCGGUGAUAAGCAAAUUCAUCCAUUACGUUGUCUUCAACAAGGUAAUCCACAUCAUCCAAGUCCGAGUAUGCCAUUCUACCGACCCCCUCCAAACGAUUGCUCGAGAAUUGCCUUAGGCUGGUUUAAAGAGUUUCAAUGAUCUUUAAAUCAAAGGUAAUUCUUUUUGCCACUUGGAUAUUUCUACGAGUCACCUUCCCUAAGGUGCAUUGUUAUGGUAUCAUGGCAAUUCAACUCCUCGCUACGUUGACAGCCGGUCACCACAUUCUUAAGUCUGAAAUUGUUGUCUACCUAGUGAACCUUUAUCAUCUGCUUCACUACAUUCCUAUGGAUGUAUGCUUCAUCUCUUAGCUCAAGAGAUGUUGCUAUGUCUCAUUCCGUGAGUUAAUCCUGAGUUGUUCGACCUUCGAGAAGAACGAUUCUUUUAGGGUCUUUCCUUUCCUCUCGUUGUCAUGUUAGUUGGAGUUCUCAAGGCAAGACUUCGAGACAAUGAUGGUGAACGAAUCAACGUUCAAUUGAAGUGCAACCUGGAUCGUGAAGAUUGUACUAGUUUGCGUUCGCCCUUCACCUUACCCUACGCUUGAAUCUCGGGACGAGAUUUUUGUUUAGUGGGGGUGAGCUGUCACAGCCCCAGAUCAGCCCUUGUUUGUUUUUGCUUUAGCAUCCAUGCAACAUGUUUAAAUUUUAUGAAAUUUGAAAUGGGGAUGACCAAGCCCUAGCACCAAAGCAUUGCAAAUAGGUUCAACUUCAAAAUAUUUUCAAAGAACCCAAAUUGGUUUGCAAAAAUGUUCAUGAUUACUGGAAAAGGGUGAAAACCAUAUCCAGAGAUGAUGGAUAUUUUUCCAAGACAUUUUUGGAUUUUUGAUUAAACCAUAUUGUAUUUGAAUUGGGGCAUUUAAAUACUGUUAAUAUUUUUAAAUGCUCCAACAAUUCUGAAAAUAGUUGAGGGCCUCUGUAAUAAUUCAGUUAAUGUCCACAAUUAUUCUCAGGAUUUAUAAAAAAUGAUUUAGUGUCUAAAACUAAAUCAAAACAAACUACAGAAAAUAGAAAUAGAAAAGAGGAAAUAAAAGAAAGGGAGAGAAGGCCACCAGGCCACCUACCUAACUUACCUGGCGCCCACUUACCUGGCCCAGCACGGCCCAGCCCAUCUCCACUCCCCAUGUCGUCUUCCUCCUCGCCAGAAGGACCGAGGCGUGGCGCGCGCCCGAGAGGCCUCGGCCACCUCCUGCUUCCCCUGGCCACCUCCUGCUUCCUCCUCGACGCCCCGGUGACGCCACGCGCCUCCCCGACCCCCUCUCACCUCUCCCUCACUCGCUGCACCCUCUCUCCCUCCCCUGACUCCCUUCCCCGAGCUCACCCGAGAGUCGCCGUCACCGCCGUUCGCCAUAGCCGCAGCCACCGGCCCUCCCUCGCCCUUCCGCCAGUUCCAGAAGCUCCGCCGCUGACCUCUACACCGUCCCCGCCAAGCCACACGAGCGGACGCGCCCUGCAGCGGCUUCCCCGACCUCUUCUUCAAGCUUCGGCCGCCGAGAUCGCCGGCGAUCGUGUGCCCUCCCUGACGCCUCCCCGAGCUCCCCGAGGCCACCAUCGCAACCCCUGUGAGCCUCCGGUCGAUUCCCCUCUUCUCCCCGCGUCGAUUUCGCGCCCUAGCCACAGAUGCACAUAGCCGAGUUGUGCUCGCCGCCGGCGAAGUCGUCACCAUGGCUUGAGCAAGCCCAGCUUGCCCCUGAGCAUGUCAUCGCGCUCGCGCUGCUCCCAGGAGCCGAUCUAGCCCACCCGUUCGUCUCACCGUGCACCACAACGCCGAUUCCAAGCACACCCGAACUCCGGCCGCCGCCUUGGAGCUCGCCGUCGUCGACUCCGGCCACCAUAGGUCCGGCCACCACCACCGUUCGACGCGUGCCACUGCGUGCGUUUGAAUGCAACUAACCAUGCUCGAAAUGAUGCCCUGAGGGCGAUUUCCGAAGCCCGCCGCCGCAUCUGGCCUCGCCGGCGUCAUGUCGCCGGUGGGGUUGACCCACUUGACCGCGGCGGAACCCCCCUGGGUCGAUGACAGGUGGGGCCAGCCCCUGUUAAUUAGUUUAGGUGUUAGAUUAGUUAACACUAAUUAAUUUAGUUAAUUAUUUAAGCCACUGACAUGUGGGCCCAGCCCCGCUGACAUUUUCGUUAGUAUUAGUUUAACCCUAAUCAACCCGGUUAACCAACUGAGUCACUGACCAGUGGACCCCACUGGUCAGGUUUGACCAGCAGCAGCGUCUGUUGACCUGCUGACGUCAUAGUGACGCAAUGCUGGCGCAAUAAGUAUUUUCUGGAUUUAUUAUUAUUCAGGAAAUUUCAGAAAAUAGCUAAAACUUCAAUAAAUCAUAGAAAAUUAACCGUAACUCCAAAUGAAAUAAUUUAUAUAUGAAAAAUUAUCAGAAAAAUUCAAGGAAUCCAUCUGUACCAUUUUCAUGCAUGUUUGAACAAUGUUUGUCCUCUGUUUUGGACAAAACAAAUUAAGGGCAUUUAAAUAAUCAUAUAUGGAGUUUGAAUUUGAAUCUUGUAUUCAAACCAACUUCAUUUAAAUCAUAGCUAGUUGCAUUAGCUCAAAACACAUUCAUAUUGCCAAGUCAUGAGCAUGCAUCAUAUUGUGCAUUGCAUUGAUUGUGUUCUUUCUCUGUUGCCGGUGUUUGUCCCCUCUCGAUAGACGUGUACCGGCGAUGUGAUCGAUGACACCGAUGAAGAGCUAUAUUAUCUUCAGAAGUGCCAGGCAAGCAAAACCCCCUUGUUUAUUCCGAUACAAUCCCACUCUCUCGCUCCUGCUCUCUUUUACUGCAUUAGGACAACAACGAUUCAUCUGUUACUUGCUGUGGUAGCUGAACCCCUUUAUCCUUUGCAUGACCUGUCAUUCCACAGUAAAUAGAUGAAACCCACUAGUAUGAGUAGGAGUUGUUUGAGCCCUGUUGUGCCUACUCAUUCAUGUUUGUUUGUCAUGCCUGCUACUGCUUAGAGUUGAGUCAGGUCUGAUUCAUCGGGGAUGAAUCAGAGGUGUGUGAACAUGUCCUACUAUGUGUGAGCUAAGUGUGUGAACACGAUUUGGUAAAAGGUAUCGGUGAGAGGCCAUGUAGGAGUACAUGGUGGGUUGUCUCAUUGAAGCCGUCCUCAGGAACUGAGUUCUGUGUUUGUGAUCCAUGAUUCAGCUACUACCAUACAUUGGGCCCUGAAAUAUGACCCCGCUCGACUUCUUAUUCACCCUAGUCCUCUGNNNNNNNNNNGAACCCUGUUCACAUCGUUUGGGGCUGUGAGCGAAACUCCGGCCGGAUCUCCUCAUGGAUGGAACCCGAAUAGGCGAUAAACCUGGACUAGAGACUCGAGUGUUUAGGUAGGUCGUGGUCUACACCCACGUCGGCUUUCGCUUGAAGUCUGCCGAGCACAUGUCGUGUGCAGACGCUAAGUGGUGGAAACAUGUAUGAAGAAGUACACCCCUGCAGGGUUAAUAUCAUCUAUUCGAAUAGCCGUGUCCGCGGUAAAGGACUUCUGGGUUGCUUAUAUCAGUUCAUAGACAAGUGAAAGUGGAUACCCUAAAAUACGCAAGAUAAGCGUGAGUGCUAUGGAUGGCGUUCCCGUAGGGAGACGGGAGCGGAUCCAUAGUGGUGUAUUGAUAUCGUGAAUAUGUGGACUCGUGUGCGCCACCUCAAAAGAGUUACAUUGCAGUCGUAGUUCAGGAUAGCCACCGAGUCAAAGCUGGCUUGCUGCAGUUAAACCCCACCAUCCCCUUUGUUGAUAAUGAUGCAUAUGUAGUUAGUUCUGAUGUAAGUCUUGCUGGGUACAAUUGUACUCACGUUUGCCUAUUUUAUGUUUUUGCAGAGAGACUUCGGUCUCGCUAGUAGUUUCGCGUGGACUUCGACGUUUAGCUUGUUACCUCAGCUACGAUCUUGUGCCUCGGCAGGAUUUGGUAGAUAGCCAGGCUUCUCAGCCGUUUUCAUUUAUAGAUGUCUGUACUCAGACAUGAUAGCUUCCGCUUGUGCUUUGACUUGUAUGCUCUGAUUGUUGGGUCAUGAGACCCCUGUUUGUAAUAUCUCGCUCCUCGGAGCCUAAUAAAUACUUGAGUUGUAGAGUCAUGUUGUGAUGCCAUGUUGUAUUUGCACAUAUCGAGCAUAUUGUGUGUAUGUUAUUGAAAUGCUUGGCAUGUGUGGGAUCUGACUAUCUAGUUGUUUAUCCUUAGUAGCCCCUCUUACUGGGAAAUGUCUCCUAGUGUUUCCACUGAGCCAGGGUAGCUUGCUACUGCUCCGGAACACUUAGGCUGGCCGGCAUGUGUCCUUCUUCGUUCCUGUGUCUGUCCCUUCGGGGAAAUGUCACGCGAUGAAUACCGGAGUCCUGUUAGCCCGCUACAGCUCGGCUCACCGGAGUCCUGCUAGCCCAGUGCUACAGCCUGGAUUCACUCGCUGAUGACCGACAUGUUCGAUGCUGGGUCAUGUAUGCCUGUCCCUGUAAGUCUGUGCCACUUUGGGUUUACGACUAGCCAUGUCAGCCCGGGCUCCUUAUCAUAUGGAUGCUAGCACACUAUCAUAUACGUGUGCCAAAAGGUGCAAACGGUCCCGGGCAAAGGUAAGGCGACACCCGUGGGAAUACUGUGCGUGAGGCCGCAAAGUGAUAUGAGGUGUUACAUGCUAGAUCGAUGUGGCAUUGAGUCGGGGUCCUGAUAGUCCUGGAGGCCAUGCCUCGCUCUCCGAUCAGAAGUCCUUAUUCGGUGUUGAAUUGCCAGCCAAGCAAAAUUUUGCACUUGAGGAGGGCCCAACUCUUCCAAAUGCAUGCGGCGUAAGGGACCCUCUCAGUGCCAAAACAGAGCCUUAGGUAUGUGGAUUUAGCCGUGUAACCACCGGAAGGAUCGGCUGGCCAAGAGAAAGAAUCUUCCGCAAGGGGCUCCUGGUUCACCGUGCUGAUCGCAAGAUUUAGGUGAAGUAGUUGCAAGUGGCCACCAAAGUUAACUACACCGGAUAUGUCAUGCAACCAACUAUCGUUUUGCAAGCCGUCCUCAACUGUGCGACGGUUGAUCGUUCUCAUGUCAACCAAGGCAUAAAUGUACGGUGCAAUGUCCUUGACCGCAAAGCCGUGUAUCCACCUAUCUCUCCAGAACAGCACUCUGUUGCCCAUACCGACCUCAAUGUGUACCAAACUAUCAAAGACCGCUCGUGCCUUUUUGUCCACGGCCAUUGGAAGCCUUUGCCACGGCCUCUCCGGGUCUGUCCUUCUCAGCCACUCCCAUCUCACUCUUAAAGCCAAGCCUUGUAAUUGCAUGUUGCGCACACCCAAACCUCCGAGCCACGUGGGUUUGCACACCGAGUUCCAAGCCACCAGACACUGACCACCGUGAACUUUAUCUUUUCCGGCCCAGAAGAAGGAGCGCAUCCAUUUGUCUAACUCCUCAAACACCCAAGCAGGGGCGUCCGUAACCAUGAAGUGGUGGAUAGGCUUGGCAGAGAUUACAGACUUAACCAGCACCAAGCGUCCAGGACGAUGCAACAGCCCUCUCUGCCAGGCCGGGGCAAACUUCUUGGCGUGGUCGAUCAUUGGCUGCCAUUCCGCCCUAGAGAGCUGACGGAUGGCCAAUUGAAGGCCAAGGUACUUACAUGGGAAACUCCCCAUCCGACAAUGCAAAAUGGACUCGACCCGAUCCCGGUCAUCGUCGUUCCCAUGGAUCAUGAUAGCCGGCGACUUCUGAUAGUUGACCCGUAGGCCAGAAGUAGCACCAAAAGUGUGUAGCACGGAUCUGACGAACGUAAGGUCCAACACCCUGGGUUUGACGAACAUCGCCAUGUCAUCCGCAUAGAUCGACACUGAUUGGUGGGCAGCGAUGCCAGUGAAGCUCCUGCCAACACCAAAACUCUCAGCCUUGAUCAUGAUUCUAGAAAGCACAUCCAUGGCGAUCACGAAGAGCAAAGGCGAAACCGGGUCACCCUGCCUCAGGCCCUUGGCAUGGGUGAAACUUCUGCCAGGUACUCCAUUAACAAUCACCCUGGUGCUAGCCGUUUUGAGGAGGAUCGAGAUCCAAGUGCACCACUUGUGGCCAAAGCCUUUUCUCCUCAUCACCUCAAACAAAAACGCCCAGUUGAGUGAGUCGAAGGCCCUCGAUAUGUCAAGCUUCAAAAACACGCUGGCCUCCUUACGCGCAUGAAUCUUCCUGGCAACUUGUCUAACAAGAAGAAAGUUGUCGUGCAAGUGUCUUCCACAAAUAAAGGUGGAUUGAUUAGCCGUGACUAUCUCCUUCAUUCUUCUUCGGGCUCUACUCACAAGCAACUUUGCAAAAAUCUUGGCCACACUAUGGGGAAGGCUGAUGGGGCGAUAGUCUCCCACUUCUUCGGUGUCCGGUUUCUUCGGGAUCAGCACAAUAUGAGCGCGGUUAAGCUUGCCGAAGCCACGUCCAUCACCCACAUAGAGCUUUAGAAGCAUCGACAUAACUUCGUUCUUGAUAGUGGGCCAGGCUUUUUGAUAGAAAGCUGCGCUGAAUCCAUCCGGCCCUGGCGCCCGAUCUGGGUGCAAUUCUUUGAUGGUAUUCCACACCUCCUCCUCCGUAAAGAUCGCAUCAAGCUCCACGAGGUCAUGCCCUGCCAUGUCAAGGAAAUCCAUAUCCACAUCUACCUCCCUGGCAGCGGCACGACCCAGCAACUGCUCAUAGGCUUCGGUGAAGAUCUCCUCCUUCCUCUCCUGAUGGUAAAUCAAUUCCCCAUUGUGUCUAAUAUGGGGGAUGAAGUUCUUAGAUCUCCGUCUGUUAGCCACUGCUUGGAAAAGUUUAGUAUUGGCAUCUCCUUCUCGGAUCCAUCUAAGUCUGGAGCGUUGUCUUUCAAUGAUGCAUUGAAGGGAGGCGAGUCCAAGGACCGAAUGCUUAAGGGACCUCCUCAACCAUCUCUCCGUCCAAUUGAGAACCCGGGCCUCCAUAGCUCUGUCCAGCCUAUGUAUGACAUAGUUCGCCACGGCCAACUGAAUUUUGAUGUUCCCCGCCUUCUUUUGGCCCCAGGCUUGAAGGGCAGAAGCGGUGUUCCUGAGCAACUGAUCAAGCCUCUUGAAAGGGUCAACAAUAUCACCUUCACACACCCAUGCGUCUUUGACAGCCUGCUCGAAUCCUUCCAAACAAGUCCAAAAGAGCUCAAAACGAAACCUGCGCUUCGGGCAGAAGGGGGCCGAAGCGGAAAGAUGGAGGGGCACGUGGUCCGAGAUGUUGGUGGAGAGAGCUUGAAGCAGCACGUCUGGGAAAUUGAGCUCCCAGUCCACGGAGACAAGCACCCGAUCGAUCUUGGUCAUAACCACCUGCUCUCUCUCGUUAGACCAUGUGAACCUCCUGCCAUGCAUGUAAAUCUCUUUGAGUUCAUUGUUGUCCACGAACGAAUUGAACUUCCUCAUCAUGCUCCUAUUUAGGUUAGAGUUGCUUUUCUCCUCGGCUCUAAUGAUCAUGUUGAAGUCUCCAAGCACCAUCCAGGGGCCCGGAGACACAUCCCUUCUAAGUUGAAGAUCAACGAGAAACUGGGUUUUAAGCUCAUCGCCUUGAGGCCCGUACACGACCGAUAACCACCACUCAAAGCCGUCGUUAUUACGGACCAGGCCCGAGAGGAAGUUGGUGUCCAGGGAGAUGUUUCUAAUAGCCAGAACCGUGCUGUCCCACCCCAAAAGGAUUCCUCCCCUAGUGUCAGAAGCAGGUAAGUAGGCAAAACCAUCAAAGGAUGGUCCAUGCAUUGUAUAACCAAGAAGGGAUCAAAAGCUACAAGCUUGGUUUCUUGAAGACAUACAAGGUUGACCUUAGCUGCGACUACGAACUCCCUAACAGCAUGCCUCUUGGCGGGGUUGUUAAGCCCUCUCAUGUUCCAGCAUAGAAUUUGGGGGUUCCAAUCCAUGGAAAUCAACGAAACACCCACACCCACGGGGGCAAGCAAGCUCAAGCCGCUCCCACGAGCACUGUGGUCCCGAAGCUCAACUCAGGAGCCGGCGGAACCUCCUUGCCAAACAAAGCCGCGAUCACCCUGACGUGUUGCUCACGUAGAGGGGAGUCAAAGAGCUCGGCCAGCUCAGCUAUCGAAUCGUCGUUGCCCUCCAUAUCCUCCGGAACCAGACCUAGAUCUUGCAUAAGUACAUUCUCAGCCUGCGUGGCCUUGGAUUUCCCAGCCGGAGCCCUCUUGGCGCUGCGAGUCGUCCUUCGAGGGGUGAAAGGCUCAGCAUCCAGCCUAAGUGAUGACUGCACCUCGAGAAGGAGCAGAGGAGCCAACUUCUUAACCAACGCGUUGCAGAACCAUUUGAGCUUGCCAAAUGCUAUCACCUCCUGGGGUGUCAUGCCCCCCUCUCCCUCCGGAAUCUAAUUUUGCAUGGCCUGGUUAACGUUCGGAAUUGCCUGGACCAGUGCAAGUUCCUGAGAAGGCGCCACUUGUAACUGCACGUCCGCACAAACGGGAGAGACAGCCCCAAUCAUGGGCGAAUCUUCAUGUCGCUGUGGGGGCGCCAACGGGUUGGCCACCACGCCCGAGCCAAACAGGGGCGCGUCCACCAAAGCCAUCAGUCCCACCAAAGCCUCUGAUCCCACGUCCAAAGCCUCCUCAUGAGCCACGGGCGGGUCCACCACGAUCACUCCCAGGGUCGUUUGGGUUCGAUAAUGAAGUGGAAUGAAAUGUCGUAGUUUUAUUUCACUGAGUUGAUUUUAUUUUUUUAGUUUUUAGCCUCAUUUGAUUGAAUGGAAUUGUUACAUUACUAGAAUGUUUGGUUUGAGAGAGAGAAUGGAAUGGAUUUGAUUCACCUCGCCUCCUGUAUAAAAAUGGUGAUGUUAUUUCUGCUCUCACAUGCAAAUGCACAAUAUAAACAAAUAUUGCUCUUUAUAUUUUUAGAAACAUAUUAUUAAAAAAAUUAGUAGUAUUCACAUUGAAUUGGAACAUAAUUCACGGUAUUUCUUGUUGAGCGGGACACAUACAAAGGUAGGGAAAUCAUCAACAAGCACACAAACAAGCAAAAUUGCACACAAUGCUAGGCGCAGAUAAAGCUAACACGACAGACGCACCUGAACAAACAAAGUGAUCUGGAAAUUGGUUCCCUACAUCAAGGACCUACAACUGAUGAUGGAAAUUGGAGCGGGUCUGGAAAAUGGUUGCCUACGAGUGCGACAGAUACGACGGCAAGCAACGACCGUAACCCUAAAGCAUAAACCUAACCCUAACCCUAAACCACUAAACGCUAAACCCUAAACCAUGGUCUACCGCUGAAUUGGUUGUGCAUCUGCAAGAGUGUGAAUUUCGGGCUGCAUCACGCGGAGAUGAGAUGUAUUCUAAAGUUCACACCCUUGCGGAUGCUAAUUUUCAUUUUGGAGCGGUGUGGAGGCACAAUGCUUGUCAAAAUGCCACUACGGCCAUCAUAAUCUCCUCACACCCUCGCACAAUGCAAGAUGUCGUGAUUCCAACUAAGGGACCCUUGAGGGUGGUCACCGAACCCGUAAAAUUGGCAACCCUUGGGGUGGUCACCGAACUCGUACAAAUUGCUUGGCGCAAUCUCUGCAAUCUAAUUGGAGACCCAAAGCUUGCUUGGAUCUUUACACCACAAUGAUUGAGCUCCUCGACACCACCAACCGUCUAGGGCGCGAAAGCACCCAAGAGGCACAAGCUCUAGGGUGCCCAAGCACCCAAGAGUAAUAAGCUCCUUAACUUUCACUUCCACGUAUCACCGUGGAGAUGCCCGUGCUCUACCGCUUGGGGGAGCAGUGCUACCGCUUAGAGCGGUAGUUCCAGUGCCAGCUAGUGUGUACUUCAGAGUACAAACAUGGUAGUUCCACCGGAGCAGUACUACUGGCUAUAGUGAGCGCUACUACUGCUAAAUGUCACUGGAUGCAGAGGGACCAGCGACAGUAAAAAGGGCAACAGAGUAAAAAGGGGCUGCUAAAUGUUAAGCGAUACUACUGUAUACAACUGUCCAACUACUGCAAGAGUAAAAAGAGCAACAGAGGCUUGCACACCUCUCGAAAGCAAGUGGUAGUAGAAAACGGAAGUAGCGCACAAGCAGUACUACCGUGCUACUAUCGUGAGCUAACGAGAGAUGUGCAGAAAGAAAAUUCCAAGCGGUAGCGGACUCACAGCGGAAGUAUCCCCCAAGUGGUUGUCGGUGCUAAAACCAGCGGAUCUCAGGUAGGGGUCCCGAGCUGGUGAUCUAGGAAUGAUGGUGACAGGGGGAAACGGGAGACGAUGUUUACUCAGGUUCGGGCCCUCUCGAAGAGGUAAAACCCUACGUCCUGCUUGAUUAUAUUGAUGUGAUGCAGUAUCGAGUACAAGAUGAUCUACCUUGAGAUCGUAUGUUGUGUUCUAAACCCUAAGGCUAGUAAGUGUAUCUCUAAAGACUAAACCCCACGGCUUAUAUACACACCAGGGGUUCCUAGGUUACACAUAUGGUCGAUGGCCAGACAUGUCGGCUGGUGAGCUAUCCUUGAAGCGCACACCAAGUCUUCGGAGGUUUCCAUCUUGAUCAUGCCGAGGUUCAUAGCUUCUGGAGUCCUUCCUUGUGGAGAUCAGCGGGCUGUAAGCUCGACCCAUGGGCUGUGGGUCGUAUAGGUUAGCACCCCCUAGUCCAGGACACCGUCAGUAGCCCCUGAAUUUGUCUUCAAAGCCGAGGAUGAAAGCUCCAUCCUCGGACCUGAAGGAAAUAUGCCCUAGAGGCAAUAAUAAGGUUGUUAUUUAUAUUCCCUUGUACCAUGAUAAAUGUUUAUUAUUCAUGCUAGAAUUGUAUUAACCGGAAACUUAGUACAUGUGUGCAUACAUAGAUAAACAGAGUGUCCCUAGUAUGCCUCUACUUGACUAGCUCGUUAAUCAAAGAUGGUUAAGUUUUCUGACCAUAGACAUGUGUUGUCAUUUGAUGAACGGGAUCACAUCAUUAGAGAAUGAUAUGAUGGACAAGACCCAUCCGUUAGCUUAACAUAAUGAUCGUUUAGUUUUAUUGCUAUUGCUUUCUUCAUGACUUAUACAUGUUCCUCUGACUAUGAGAUUAUGCAACUCCCGAAUACCGGAGGAACACCUUGUGUGCUAUCAAACGUCACAACUUAACUAGGUGAUUAUAAAGAUGCUCUACAAGUGUCCCCGAUGGUGUUUGUUGAGUUGGCAUAGAUCGAGAUUAGGAUUUGUCACUCCGUGAACUGUAGAGGCAUCUCUGGGCCCUCUCGGUAAUGCACAUCACUAUGAGCCUUGCAAGGAAUGUGACUAAUGAGUUAGUUACGGAAUGAUGCAUUACGAAACGAGUAAAUAGACUUGCGAUAAUGAGAUUGAACUAGGUAUGAGGAUACAGACGAUCGAAUCUCAGGCAAGUAACAUACAGAUCACAAAGGGAAUGACGUAUGUUGUUAUGCGAUUUGACCGAUAAAGAUAUUCGUAGAAUAUGUAGGAGCCAAUAUGAGCAUCCAGGUUCCGCUAUUGGUUAUUGACCGGAGAUGUGUCUCGGUCAUGUCUGCAUAGUUCUCGAACCUGUAGGGUCCACACGCUUAACAUUCGAUGACGAUUUGUAUUAUGAGUUAUGUGAUUUGAUGACCGAAGUUUGUUCGGAGUCCAGGAUGAGAUCACGGACAUGACGAGGAGUCUCGAAAUGGUCGAGAGGUAAAGAUUCAUAUAUUGGAAGGUUGCACUUGGACAUCAGAAUGGUUCUAAGACGUUUGGGCAUUUUUCCGGAGUACGAGGAGGUUACCGAAACCCCCCGGGGAAGUUAAUGGGCCUUAGUGGGCUUUAGUGGAGAGAGGGAAGAAGGGCCGCGAGGUGGCGUGCGCCUCCCCCUUGCCCAAACCAAAUUGGACUAGGGGUGGGGCCUCAGCCCCCUCCUUCCUUCUCCUUCUCCCCUCCUUCCUUUUCCUCUGGUGGAAGAAAUGAAAAGGGGGGGGGGGUGAAUCCUACUUGGACUAGGAGUCCAAGUAGGACUCCCCCUGGCGCGCCCAACCUGGCCGGCCUCCUCUCGCCCUCCCUCCUUUAUAUACGUGUCCAGGGGGCACCCUAAUAGCACAAACAGACAAUCUCUUAGCCGUGUGCGGUGCACCCCUCCACAGUUUAACACCCCGAUCAUAUCGUCAUAGUGCUGAGGUGAAGCCCUGCGCCGGUAACUUCAUCAUCACCGUCGGCACGCCAUCGUGCCGACGGAAAUCUCCCUCGUCCUCAACUGGAUCAAGAGCUCGAGGGAUGUCAUUGUGAUGAACGUGUGCUGAACACGGAGGUGUCGUACGUUUGGUACUUGGAUCGGUUGGAUCGUGAAGACGUUCGACUACAUCAACCGCGUUACUAAACGCUUCCGCUUUCAGUCUACGAGGAUACGUGGACACACUCUCCCCUCUUGUUGUUAUGCAUCUCCUAGAUAGAUCUUGCGUGAUCGUAGGAAUUUUUUUGAAAUACUAUGUUCCCCAACAGUGGUAUCAAAGCCAGGUCGAUGCGUAGAUGUUAUAUGCACGAGUAGAACACAAAGAGUUGCGGGCAAUAAUAGUCAUACUGCUUACCACCAACGUCUUACUUUGAUUUGGCGGUAUUGUUGGAUGAAGCGGCCCCGACCGACAUUACAUGACCGCAUUCAUGAGACUUGUUCUACCGACGUGCUUCGCACAUAGGUGGCUGGCGGGUGUCUGUUUCUCCAACUUUAGUUGAAUCGAGUUUGACUACGGUCGGUCCUUGUUGAAGGUUAAAACAACACACUUGACGAAAAAUCAUUGUGGUUUUGAUGCGUAGGUAAGAACGGUUCUUGCUAGAAGCCCGUAGAAGCCACGUAAAACUUGCAACAACAAAGUAGAGGACGUCUAACUUGUUUUUGCAGGGCAUGUUGUGAUGUGAUAUGGUCAAGACGUGAUGAGAUAUAAAUUGUUGUAUGAGAUGAUCAUGUUUUGUAAAAGUUAUCGACAACUGGCAGGAGACUUAUGGUUGUCACUUUAUUGUAUGAAAUGUAAUUGCCAUACUUUAUCACUAAGCGGUAGCGAUAGUCGUAGAAGCAAUAGUUGGCAAGACGACAACGAUGCUACGAUGGAGAUCAAGGUGUCAACCCGGUGACGAUGGAGAUCAUGACGGUGCUUUGGAGAUGGAGAUCAAAGGCGCAAGAUGAUGAUGGCCAUAUCAUGUCACAUAUUUUGAUUGCAUGUGAUGUUUAUCCUUUAUGCAUCUUAUUUUGCUUAGUACGGCGGUAGCAUUAUAAGAUGACCCCUCACUAAAUUUCAAGGUACAGGUGUUCUCCUGAGUAUGCAUCAUUGCUAUAGUUCGUCGUGCCGAGACACCACGUGAUGAUCGGGUAUGAUAAGCUCUACGUUAACAUACAACGGGUGCAAGCCAGUUUUGCACGUGCAGAAUACUUGGGUUAAACUUGACGAGCCUAGCAUAUGCAAAUAUGGCCUCGGAACACUGAGACUGAAAGGUCGAGCGUGAAUCAUAUAGUAGAUAUGAUCAACAUAGUGAUAUUCACCAUUGAAAACUACUCCAUCUCACGUGAUGAUCGGACAUGGUUGUGAUCAUUUAGAUGACUAGAGGGAUCUCUAUCUAAAUGGGAGUUCUUAAGUAAUAUGAUUAAUUGAACUUUAAUUUACCAUGAACUUAGUAUCUGAUAGUAUUUGCAUGUCUCUGUUAUUGUAGAUCAAUAUGACCCGUGCUACCGUUCCUUUGAAUUUUAAUGCGUUUCUAGAGAAAGCUAAGUUGAAAGAUGAUGGCAGCAACUACAUGGACUAGGUUCGUAACUUGAGGAUUAUCCUCAUUGCUGCACAGAAGAAUUACGUCCUCGAAGCACCGCUAGGUGCCAAACCCGCUGUAGGAGCAACUCCGGAUGUUAUGAACGUCUGGCAGAGCAAAGCUGAUGACUACUCGAUAGUUCACUGUGCCAUGCUUUACGGCUUAGAAUCGGGACUUCAAAGAUGUUUUGAAUGUCAUGGAGCAUAUGAGAUGUUCCAGGAGUUGAAGUUGAUAUUUCGAGCAAAUGCCCGAGUUGAGAGAUAUGAAGUCUCCAACAAGUUCUAUAGCUGCAAAAUGGAGGAGAAUAUAGUUCUGUCAGUGAACACAUACUCAGAAUGUCUGGGUACCAUAACCACUUCACUCAGCUGGGAGUUAAUCUUCCUGAUGAUAGUGUCAUUGACAUAGUUCUUCAAUCACUACCACCAAGCUAUAAAGGCUUUGUGAUGAACUAUAAUAUGCAAGGGAUGCAAAAGACAAUUCCCGAGCUCUUCGUGAUGCUAAAGGUUGCAGAGGUAGAAAUCAAGAAGGAGCAUAAAGUGUUGAUGGUGAACAAGACCACUAGUUUCAAGAAAAAGGGCAAAGGGAAGAAGGCAAACUUCAAGAAGAACAGCAAGCCAGUUGCUGCUCAAGGGAGGAAGCCCAAGUCUGGACCUAAGCCUGAGACUGAGUGCUUCUACUUCAAAGGAACUGGUCACUAGAAGCGGAACUGCCCCAAGUAUUUGGCGGAUAAGAAGGAUGGCAAAGUGAAAGGUAUAUUUGAUAUACAUGUUAUUGACGUGUACCUUACUAAUGCUCGUAGUAGCGCCUGGGUAUUUGAUACUGGUUCUGUUGCUCAUAUUUGCAGCUCGAAACAAGGGCUACAUAUUAAACGAAGAUUGGCUAAGGACGAGUUGAGAAUGCGCGUUGGGAAUGGUUCCAAAGUCGAUGUGAUUGCCUCGGCAUGCUACCUCUAGAUUUCUACCGUCCAGAUUAGUUUUAGACCUAAAUAAUUGUUAUUUGGUGCCAGCGUUGAGCAUGAACAUUAUAUCUGGAUCUUGUUUGAUGCGAGACGGUUAUUCAUUUAAAUCAGAGAAUAAUGGUUGUUCUAUUUAUAUGAGUAAUAUCUUUUAUGGUAAUGCGCCCUUGAUGAGUGGUCUAUUUUUGUUGAAUCUCGAUUUUAGUGAUGCACAUAUUCAUAAUAUUGAAGCCAAAAGAUGCAAGGUUAAUAAUGAUAGUGCAACUUAUUUGUGGCACUGCCAUUUAGGUCAUAUUGGUGUAAAGCGCAUAAAGAAACUCCGUGCUGAUGGGCUUUUGGAAUCACUCAAUUAUGAAUCACUUGAAGCUUGUGAACCAUGCCUCAUGGGCAAGAUGACUAAGACUCUGUUCUCCGGAACAAUGGAACGAGCAACUGACUUAUUGGAAAUAAUACAUACUGAUGUAUGCGGUCCGAUGAGUGUUGAGGCUCGCGGCGGGUAUCAUUAUUUUCUGACCUUCACAGAUGGUUUGAGCAGAUAUGGGUAUAUCUACUUAAUGAAACAUAAGUCUGAAACAUUUGAAAAGUUCAAAGAAUUUCAGAGUGAAGUGGAAAAUCAUCGUAACAAGAAAAUAAAGUUUCUGUGAUCUGAUCGUGGAGGUGAAUAUUUGAGUUAUGAGUUUGGUCUUCAUUUGAAACAAUGUGGAAUAGUUUCGCAACUCACGCCACCUGGAACACCACAGCGUAAUGGUGUGUCCGAACGUCGUAACUGUACUUUAUUAGAUAUGGUAUGAUCUAUGAUGUUUCUUACUGAUUUACCGCUAUCAUUUUGGGGUUAUGCUUUAGAGACAGCUGCAUUCACGUUAAAUAGGGCACCAUCUAAAUCCAUUGAGAUGACACCAUAUGAACUGUGGUUUGGCAAGAAACUUAAGCUGUCGUUUCUUAAAGUUUGUGGGCUGCGAUGUGCUACAUCUUUUAGCACUGCGUUGGUUUUCCCUGAAGAGGAAGGGAUGAUGCAGCAAAGUAGCGUAAGUAUUUCCCUCAGUUUUUGAGAACCAAGGUAUCAAUCGAGUAGGAGGCUACGCGUGAGUCCCUCGCACCUGCACAAAACAAAUAAAUCCUCGCAACCAACACAAAUAGGGGUUGUCAAUCCCUAUAAGUCCACUUAUGAGAGUGAGAUCUGAUAGAUAUGAUAAGAUAAUAUUUUUGGUAUUUUUAUGAUAAAGAUGCAAAGUAAAAUAAAGGCAAAGUAAAUAACUAAGUAGUAGGAGAUCAAUAUGAUAAAGAUAGACCCGGGGCCAUAGGUUUCACUAGUGGCUUCUCUCGAGAGCAUAAGUAUCUUACGGUGGGUGAACAAAUUACUAUUAAGCAAUUGACAGAAUUGAGCAUAGUUAUGAGAAUAUCUAGGUAUGAUCAUGUAUAUAGGCAUCACGUCCGAGACAAGUAGACCGACUCCUGCCUGCAUCUACUACUAUUACUCCACUCAUUGACCACUAUCUAGCAUGCAUCUAGAGUAUUAAGUUAAAAAUAGAGUAACGCCUUAAGCAAGAUGACAUGAUGUAGAGGGAUAGACUCAUGCAAUAUGAAGAAAACCCCAUCUUGUUAUCCUCGAUGGCAACAAUACAAUACAUGCCUUGCUGCCCUUACUGUCACCGGGAAAGGACACCGCAAGAUUGAACCCAAAGCUAAGCACUUCUCCUAUUGAAAGAAAGAUCAAUCUAGUAGGCCAAACCAAACUGAUAAUUCGAAGAGACUUGCAAAGAUAACCAAUCAUACAUAAAAGAAUUCAGAGAAGAUUCAAAUAUUAUUCAUAGAUAGACUUGAUCAUAAACCCACAAUUCAUCGGUCUCAACAACACACCUCAAAAAGGAGAUUACAUCGAAUAGAUCUCCACAAGAGAGGGGGAGAACAUUGUAUUGAGAUCCAAAAAGAGAGAAGAAGCCAUCUAGCUACUAACUAUGGACCAAUAGGUCUGAGGUAAACUACUCACACUUCAUCGGAAGGGCUAUGGUGUUGAUGUAGAAGCCCUCUGUGAUCGAUGCCCCCUCCGACGGAGCUCCGAAACAGGCCCCAAGAUGGGAUCUCGUGGAUAUAGAAAGUUACGGCGGUGGAAUUAGGGUUUUGGCUCCGUAUCUGAUCGUUUGGGGGUACGUGGGUAUAUAUAGGAGGAAGAAGUACGUCGGUGGAGCAACAGGGGGCCCACGAGGGUGGAGGGCGCGCAUGGGGGGGUAGGCGCGCCCCUACUUCAUGGCCUCCUGUUACGUGGCUUGACGUAGGGUCCAAGUCUCCUGAGUUGUAUUCGAUGAGAAAAUCACGUUCCCGAAGGUUUCAUUCUGUUUGGACUCCGUUUGAUAUUCCUUUUCUUCGAAACCCUAAAACAGGCAAAAACCAGCAAUUCUGGGCUGGGCCUCCGGUUAAUAGGUUAGUCCCAAAAAUAAUAUAAAAGUAAAUAAUAAAGCCCAAUAAUGUCCAAAACAGUAGAUAAUAUAGCAUGGAGCAAUAAAAAAUUAUAGAUACGUUGGAGACGUAUCAAGCAUCCCCAAGCUUAAUUCCUGCUCGUCCUCGAGUAGGUAAAUGAUAAAAAGAUAAUUUUUGAUGCGGAGUGCUAGUUGGCAUAAUUUCAAUGUAAUUCUUCUUACUUGUGAUAUGAAUAUUCAGAUCCGAAAGAUUCAAGACAAAAGUUCAUAUUGACAUAGAAAUAAUAAUACUUCAAGCAUACUAACUAAGCAAUCAUGUCUUCUCAAAAUAACAUGGCCAAAGAAAGCUAUCCCUACAAAAUCAUAUAGUCUGGCUAUGCUCUAUCUUCAACACACAAAAUAUUUAAAUCAUGCACAACCCCGAUGACAAGCCAAGCAAUUGUUUCAUACUUUUGACAUCCUCAAAACUUUUCCAAUCUUCACGCAAUACAUGAGCGUGAGCCAUGGAUAUAGCACUAUAGGUGGAAUAGAGUGGUGGUUGUGGAGAAGACAAAAAGGAGAAGAUAGUCUCACAUCAACUAGGCGUAUCAACGGGCUAUGGAGAUGCCCAUCAAUAGAUAUCAAUGUGAGUGAGUAGGGAUUGCCAUGCAACGGAUGCACUAGAGCUAUAAGUAUAUGAAAGCUCAAAAAGAAACUAAGUGGGUGUGCAUCCAACUUUCUUGCUCAUGAAGACCUAGGGCAAUUUGAGGAAGCCCAUCAUUGGAAUAUACAAGCCAAGUUCUACAAUGAAAAACUCCCACUAGUAUAUGAAAGUGAUAACAUGAGAGACUCUCUACUAUGAAGAUCAUGGUGCUACUUUGAAGCACAAGUGUGGUAAAAGGAUAGUAACAUUGUCCCUUCUGUCUUUUUCUCUCAUUUUUUUAUUUGGGCCUUUUCUCUUUUUUAUGGCCUCUUUUCUUUCUCCUUUUUUUAUUUGGGCUUCUUUGGCCUCUUUUAUUUAUUUUUUGUCCGGAGUCUCAUCCCGAUUUGUGGGGGAAUCAUAGUCUCCAUCAUCCUUUCCUCACUGGGACAAUGCUCUAAUAAUGAUGAUCAUCACACUUUUAUUUUUCUUACAACUUAACAAUUACAACUCGAUACUUAGAACAAAAUAUGACUCUAUGUGAAUGCCUCCGGCGAUGUACUGGGAUAUACAAUGAUGCAUGAGUGACAAGUAUGAAAGAAUUAUGAACGGUGGCUUUGCCACAAAUACUAUGUCAACUACAUGAUCAUGCUAAGCAAUAUGACAAUGAUGGAGUGUGUCAUAAACGGAACGGUGGAAAGUUGCAUGGCAAUAUAUCUCGGAAUGGCUAUGGAAAUGCCAUAAUAGGUAGGUAUGGUGGCUGUUUUGAGGAAGGUAUAUGGUGGGUGUAUGAUACUGGCGAAAAGGUGCGCGGUAUUAGAGAGGCUAGCAAAGGUGGAAGGGUGAGAGUGCGUAUAAUCCAUGGACUCAACAUUAGUCAUAAAGAACUCAUAUACUUAUUGCAAAAAUCUACAAGUUAUCAAAGCAAAGUAUUACGCGCAUGCUCCUAGGGGGAUAGAUUGGUAGGAAAAGACCAUCGCUCGUCCCCGACCGCCACUCAUAAGGAAGGCAAUCAAAAAAUAAAUCAUGCUCCGACUUCAUCACAUAACGGUUCACCAUACGUGCAUGCUACGAGAAUCAUAGGCUUCAACACAAGUAUUUCUCAAAUUCACAACUACUCAACUAGCAUGACUUUAAUAUCACCAUCUCCAUAUCUCAAAACAAUUAUCAAGUAUCAAACUUCUCAUAGUAUUCAACACACUCAUAAGAGAGUUUUAUUAUUAAUCUUGCAUACCAAGCAUAUUAGGAUUUUAAGCAAAUUACCAUGCUAUUAAGACUCUAAAAAUAAUCUAAGUGAAGUGAGAGAUCAAUAGUUUCUAUAAAACAAAUCCACCACCGUGCUCUAAAAGAUAUAAGUGAAGUACUAGAGCAAAAUUAUAUAACUCAAAAGAUAUAAGCGAAGCACAUAGAGUAUUCUAAAAAAUUCCAAAUCAUAUAUGGCUCUCUCAAAAGGUGUGUACAGCAAGGAUGAUUGUGGUAAACUAACAAGCAAAGACUCAAAUCAUACAAGACGCUCUAAGCAAAACACAUAUCAUGUGGUAAAUAAAAAUAUAGCUCCAAGUAAAGUUACCGAUAGAAGUAGAUGAAAAGGGGGGAUGCCUUCAGAGGCAUCCCCAAGAUUUGGCUUUUAGGUGUCCUUAGAUUAUCUUGGGAGUGCCAUGGGCAUCCCCAAGCUUAGGAUCUUGCCACUCCUUGUUCCAUAAUCCAUCAAAUCUUUACCCAAAACUUGAAAAAUUCACAACUCCAGUAAAUUUGAAAAAUUCACAACUCCAGUAAACUUGAAAAAUUCACAACUCCAGUAAUUCACAACUCCAGUAAAUAGCAAAGUAAAUAACUAAGUAGUAGGAGAUCAAUAUGAUAAAGAUAGACCCGGGGGCCAUAGGUUUCACUAGUGGCUUCUCUCGAGAGCAUAAGUAUCUUACGGUGGGUGAACAAAUUACUGUUGAGCAAUUGACAGAAUUGAGCAUAGUUAUGAGAAUAUCUAGGCAUGAUCAUGUAUAUAGGCAUCACGUCCGAGACAAGUAGACCGACUCCUGUCUGCAUCUACUACUAUUACUCCACUCAUCGACCGCUAUCCAGCAUGCAUCUAGAGUAUUAAGUUAAAAACAGAGAAACACCUUAAGCAAGAUGACAUGAUGUAGAGGGAUAGACUCAUGCAAUAUGAAGAAAACCCCAUCUUGUUAUCCUCGAUGGCAACAAUACAAUACGUGCCUUGCUGCCCUUACUGUCACCGGGAAAGGACACCGCAAGAUUGAACCCAAAGCUAAGCACUUCUCCUAUUGAAAGAAAGAUCAAUCUAGUAGGCCAAACCAAAUUGAUAAUUCGAAGAGACUUGCAAAGAUAACCAAUCAUACAUAAAAGAAUUCAGAGAAGAUUCAAAUAUUAUUCAUAGAUAGACUUGAUCAUAAACCCACAAUUCAUCGGUCUCAACAAACACACCACAAAAAGAAGAUUACAUCGAAUAGAUCUCCACAAGAGAGGGGGAGAACAUUGUAUUGAGAUCCAAAAAGAGAGAAGAAGACAUCUAGCUACUAACUAUGGACCCGUAGGUCUGAGGUAAACUACUCACACUUCAUCGGAAGGGCUAUGCUGUUGAUGUAGAAGCCCUCCGUGAUCGAUGCCCCCUCCGAUGGAGCUCCGGAACAGGCCCCAAGAUGGGAUCUCGUGGAUACAGAAAGUUACGGCGGUGGAAUUAGGGUUUUGGCUCCGUAUCUGAUCGUUUGGGGGUACGUGGGUAUAUAUAGGAGGAAGAAGUACGUCGGUGGAGCAACAGGGGGCCCACGAGGGUGNNNNNNNNNNNNNNNNNNNNNNNNNNNNNNNNNNNNNNNNNNNNNNNNNNNNNNNNNNNNNNNNNNNNNNNNNNNNNNNNNNNNNNNNNNNNNNNNNNNNNNNNNNNNNNNNNNNNNNNNNNNNNNNNNNNNNNNNNNNNNNNNNNNNNNNNNNNNNNNNNNNNNNNNNNNNNNNNNNNNNNNNNNNNNNNNNNNNNNNNNNNNNNNNNNNNNNNNNNNNNNNNNNNNNNNNNNNNNNNNNNNNNNNNNNNNNNNNNNNNNNNNNNNNNNNNNNNNNNNNNNNNNNNNNNNNNNNNNNNNNNNNNNNNNNNNNNNNNNNNNNNNNNNNNNNNNNNNNNNNNNNNNNNNNNNNNNNNNCCUGUUACGUGGCUUGACGUAGGGUCCAAGUCUCCUAAGUUGUAUUCGAUGAGAAAAUCACGUUCCCGAAGGUUUCAUUCCGUUUGGACUCCGUUUGAUAUUCCUUUUCUUCGAAACCCUAAAACAGGCAAAAAAACAACAAUUCUGGGUUGGGCCUCCGGUUAAUAGGCUAGUCCCAAAACAAUAUAAAAGUAGAUAAGAAAGCCCAAUAAUGUCCAAAACAGUAGAUAACAUAGCAUGGAUCAAUCAAAAAUUAUAGAUACAUUGGAGACGUAUCACGAUGCUUAUGUGAAAAAGCUUCAACCUGAUAAGCUCGAACCCAAAUCAGAGAAAUGUGUCUUCAUAGGAUACCUAAAAGAGACUGUAGGGUACACCUUCUACCACAAAUCAGAAGGCAAGCUAUUCGUUGCUAAGAAUGGAUCCUUUCUAGAGAAGGAGUUUCUCUCGAAAGAAGUGAGUGGGAUGAAAGUAGAACUUGAUGAGGUAAUUGUAACUUCUCCCGAAUUGGAAAGUAGUUCAUCACAGAAAUCAGUUUCAGGGAUUCCUACACCAAUCAAUGAGGAAGCUAAUGAUGAUGAUCAUGAAACUUGAGAUCAAGUUACUACCAAACCUCGUAGGUCAACCAGAGUACGAUCCGCACCAGAGUGGUACGGUAAUCCUGUUCUGGAGGUCAUGUUACUUGACCAUGAUGAACCUACGAACUAUGAGGAAGCGAUGAUGAGCCCAAAUUCCUAGAAAUGGCUUGAGGCCCUGAAAUCUGAGAUGGGAUCCAUGUAUGAGAUCAAAGUAUGGACUUUGGUUGACUUGCCCGAUGAUCAUGGCGGGUAUCGUUAUUUUCUGACCUUCACAGAUGAUUUUACCAGAUAGGGGUAUGUCUACUUGUUGAAACAUAAGUCUGAAACAUUUGCAAAGUUCAAAGAAAUUCAGAGUGAAGUGGAAAAUCAUCUUAACAAGAAAAUUAAGUUUCUACGAUCUGACAAUGGAGGUGAAUAUUUGAGUUACGAGUUUGGUCUUCAUUUGAAACAAUGGGGAAUAGUUUCGCAACUGACGCAACCUGGAACACCACAGCGUAAUGGUGUGUCCGAACAUCGUAACCGCACUUUAUUAGAUAUGGUGUGAUCUAUGAUGUCUCUUACUGAUUUACCGCUAUCGUUUUGGGGUUAUGCUUUAGAGACGGCUGCAUUCACGUUAAAUAGGGCACCAUCAAAAUCAGUUGAGACAACACCAUAUGAACUGUGGUUUGGCAAGAAACUCAAGUUGUCGUUUCUUAAAGAUUGGGGUUGUGAUGCUUAUGUGAAAAAGCUUCAACCUGAUAAGCUCAAACCCAAAUCGGAGAAAUGUGUCUUCAUAGGAUACCCAAAGGAGACUAUUGGGUACACCUUCUAUCACAGAUCCGAAGGCAAGAUAUUCGUUGCUAAGAAUGGAUCCUUUCUAGAGAAGGAGUUUCUCUCAAAAGAAGUGAGUGGGAGGAAAGUAGAACUUGAUGAGGUAAUUGUACCUGCUCCCUUAUUGGAAAGUAGUUCAUCACAUAAAUCAGUUCCAGUGAUUCCUACACCAAUUAGUGAGGAAGCUACUGAUGAUGAUCAUGAAACUUCUGAUCAAGUUACUACCGAACCUCGUAGGUCAACUAGAGUAAGAUCCACA
rnacentral:lncRNA from 1 species